rnacentral:rRNA from 1 species
UACGGAGGGUGCAAGCGUUAGUCGGAAUUACUGGGCGUAAAGGGUGCGUAGGCGGGACUAUAAGUCAGAUGUGAAAAACCAAAGCUCAACUUUGGCAGUGCAUCUGAAACUGUAGUUCUAGAGGUAUAGCGGAGAAAACGGAAUUCCAUGUGUAGCGGUGAAAUGCGUAGAUAUAUGGAAGAACACCUGUGGCGAAAGCGGUUUUCUAGCUUACACCUGACGCUGAGGCACGAAAGCAAGGGGAGCAAACAGG